rnacentral:rRNA from 1 species
GAUGAACGCUGGCGGCGUGCCUAAUACAUGCAAGUCGAGCGAACAGACGAGGAGCUUGCUCCUCUGACGUUAGCGGCGGACGGGUGAGUAACACGUGGAUAACCUACCUAUAAGACUGGGAUAACUUCGGGAAACCGGAGCUAAUACCGGAUAAUAUAUUGAACCGCAUGGUUCAAUAGUGAAAGACGGUUUUGCUGUCACUUAUAGAUGGAUCCGCGCCGCAUUAGCUAGUUGGUAAGGUAACGGCUUACCAAGGCAACGAUGCGUAGCCGACCUGAGAGGGAGGGCGGGCACCACUGGAGAGGAGAACGGGCCCAGCCCCCUCGGGGGGGCGGAGGAGGGAAUCCUCCCGAAUGGGGAGAAAGCCGGACGGAGAACCCCGGGGGGAGGGAGGAGGGUCUUCGAAUCUAAAACUCUUGUUAUUGGGAAAAAACAAAGGGGAAAGAAAAAAUGAACGUCUUGACGGACCCUAAUAAAAAGGCCAGGACAAACCCCGGG